AAACAGGCCGUUUCUGGCCUCCGGAGGGCCUGGGGAGGGGUGGGAAAGGCCGUUUUCCACCCUCCCAGACUCAUAGAGGGGCUCUGGAGACAGAUAAGCUGAGGCAUCCCAGCAAGAACAUUUUUUCGCCAGAUUUCCAGAUAGGACAUGGAGAUGGAGUAUUUGCAUUUAUCUUCUGAAGCAUCCCUUGUCAUCUGCAAGACAUCUCGAACAGCUCGAGGGAUCACUCCUGGGUGAUCUGGACUUCCCAGCAUGGUGUGUGUCUUGC